CUUUUCCUACACAUCUAGAAGAAAUACAGAAUAAAAUAAAGAUAUGUAAAUGGUAUUCGUAAGUUACAUUGGUAAAUUAUAUUCGUUUUGUUUCGAGGGAAGAAAACUACAGCAGAAACGUGAGCGGGAAGGUUUCAGAAUGUACUACGUAGAAUAUAAUCAUUUACUUGCUUCUUUUGAAAACGAUGACGAAGAAGAAGAAGAAGAAGAAGAAAGAAGAAGAAAAAGAAAAGAUGACGAAGAAGAAGAAAAAGAAGAAAAAAUAAAUAGAUGGGAUGAUAUAGUGCUGGCGAAGAACAAAAUAAAUAUAACAAAAAAAAAUGUAUUAAAUUACCGUUGUUUUAUUCAGAGGAAAGAGGGUUACAACAAAACUUUACAAGAAAACAAAUGAAGGUUUGUUUACAUCGAACACGAGGCCUCGCUUGCUUCGCUUCCUCGGCGCGGCGGAGUGGCGGUUUGUGUAGUGUUGUGUUUAUUUCCUAACCUCCUGUUGUGACGCCACCUGAAGGUCCCCCUGAGGUUUGUGUGUGGCUGGCGCGUCUCCUUCCCUCAGAACUAUACGAGAGAAAGUUCUGGAGUUGGAAAGUGCUCAGCUACGACUUACUAGCCACUAACUUGGCAGUGAUAUAAACCUCAGCGUCACGGGGAAGGAAGAUCUGCACGUCAGCCGUUAUCAGGGCUGACGCUCCUCGGACACCGGCUGAGAUAACACAACUUCCCACAGUGCUGGGCCAGGACAUGAGUAAAAGGUGAAGCGGGGGGCGCACGCCAUCAAUGCAUGGAUGGCCUCGAUGCUGAUUUCCGUCGCAUUGGCCCGUGCGCCUGUUUUGGGUAAGUACCAAUUACUCCGGGACAGUUAGCCAGUAUAACAUCCGGGUUACCACAGUUUACCUUCCUCAGGUUUCCUUAGCUAGCCGAUCGAUCAGCCCGAAAGGGAGGAUGAACAGCUCGGUCAUCUGCACGCCGAUUGCUCAGGCUAGGAUUCGAACCCGGGCCCGCGGAUUUGUAGCUAGACACAUUUACCACUAGAAUAUGGAGACGUGGUCUAGUUGUAUUUUUAUUAUUAUUAUCAUUAUUAUUACGUAUAAUGGAGGAUGAGCAUUUCGUGUGCUGGGAAAUAUUAUACAACACAUUUACAAAGACUUUUAACCAUAUGAACAACAUCGGAAACGUAAUAACAUAUGAGUUUGUAACAAAUCAUCAUUGUUGGAUCGGAAAAAAAUAUAUAUUGAACAACUUAAUACUUUUAGACAGAUAGCUAUCAUAUUAUUACAGAUAUUUGAAAAUUUACAAGCUACUUCGCCUCAUUGGUCGCGUCUAGAAGUACUUUUUAACAUUUUUUUUCUUUAUUUCUUGCUUAUUUUAUUUUAUUUAGUUUUCUUAUUUUGAGGAUGGGUAACGCUUGACAAAGGAUACGCUUGUAA